rnacentral:tRNA from 1 species
UAGGGAGACCAUCUGAGCAACUACCGAACCUCAACGAGCGGUAGCAAUCAGUAUCCCUGGUCGUUCGAGAAAUAGAUGUCAAAGCUUUCAAACUAUUAACUGGUUCGGCUCACGGGCUAUUAGCUCAGUUGGUUAGAGCGCACCCCUGAUAAGGGUGAGGUCCCUGGUUCAAAUCCAGGAUGGCCCACCUGGAAAAAAGUGAUGAAAUUAAAGUAAUGAGUCAGGAAUGAAUAAAAGUUCAAGACUCAGGGCAGAAAAAAUCAGAACUUGCUUAGUGGGGGUAUAGCUCAGUUGGUAGAGCGCCUGCCUUGCACGCAGGAAGUCAGCGGUUCGAGUCCGCUUACCUCCACUCUCACUAUCACUAACUAACUAGAACCACAAUCAAAAAAGAGCAGAGAAAUCAGCACCCAGACUAUCAAGCGUGAAAGUCAGAAUGCUGGAGUCUAGAACUCUAGUCAGAACCUUGAAAACUGCAUAGAAAUUAAGUCAUCAUCAAGCAGGUAAGUCAUCCGAGAAAUCGGAAAAUCUUACAAAGCGACCACCAUCAAAGAAGAAAGUUACAAAGGGCUAACGGU